AUUGAACGCUGGCGGCAUGCUUUACACAUGCAAGUCGAACGGCAGCGCGGGCUUCUGCCUGGCGGCGAGUGGCGAACGGGUGAGUAAUGCAUCGGAACGUGCCCAGUAGUGGGGGAUAGCCCGGCGAAAGCCGGAUUAAUACCGCAUACGACCUGAGGGUGAAAGCGGGGGACCGAAAGGCCUCGCGCGAUUUGAGCGGCCGAUGUCGGAUUAGCUAGUUGGUGGGGUAAAGGCUUACCAAGGCGACGAUCCGUAGCUGGUCUGAGAGGACGACCAGCCACACUGGGACUGAGACACGGCCCAGACUCCUACGGGAGGCAGCAGUGGGGAAUUUUGGACAAUGGGGGCAACCCUGAUCCAGCCAUGCCGCGUGAGGGAAGAAGGCCUUCGGGUUGUAAACCGCUUUUGUUCGGGAAGAAAUCCUCUGGGCUAAUACCCCGGGGGGAUGACGGUACCGGAAGAAUAAGCACCGGCUAACUACGUG
rnacentral:rRNA from 1 species